rnacentral:tRNA from 1 species
UCUUUGAUGGUCCAGUGGCUAAGACUCCGUGCUCUCAGUGCAGGGGGCCCUGGGUUCAAUUCCUGGUCAGAGAC